AGAGUUUGAUUAUGGCUCAGGAUGAACGCUAGCUACAGGCUUAACACAUGCAAGUCGAGGGGCAGCGAGAGGAAAGCUUGCUUCCUGUCGGCGACCGGCGCACGGGUGAGUAACGCGUAUCCAACCUUCCCCUUAGUAGGGCAUAGCCCGGCGAAAGUCGGAUUAAUACCCUAUGUUUUUCCAAUGAGGACAUCUGAGCUGGAACAAAGAUUUAUCGCUAAGGGAUGGGGAUGCGUCUGAUUAGGUAGUCGGCGGGGUAACGGCCCACCGAGCCUACGAUCAGUAGGGGUUCUGAGAGGAAGGUCCCCCACAUUGGUACUGAGACACGGACCAAACUCCUACGGGAGGCAGCAGUGAGGAAUAUUGGUCAAUGGGCGCGAGCCUGAACCAGCCAAGUAGCGUGCAGGAUGACUGCCCUAUGGGUUGUAAACUGCUUUUAUACGGGGAUAAAGUGAGGUAUGCAUACCUUUUCGUAGGUACCGUAUGAAUAAGGACCGGCUAAUUCCGUGCCAGCCGCCGC
rnacentral:rRNA from 1 species